AAUAUUGGACAAUGGGGGCAACCCUGGUCCAGCCAUGCCGCGUGUUUGAAGAAGGUCUUCGGAUUGUAAAGCACUUUACGUUGGGAGGAAGGGCUUUAGGUUAAUACCCUGAAGUUUCGACGUUACCAACAGAAUAAGCAUCGGCUAACUUCGUGCCAGCAGCCGCGGUAAUACAGAGGGUGGAAGCGUUAAUCGGAAUGUCUGGGCGUAAAGCGCGCGUAGGUGGUUCAGUAAGAUGGGUGUGAAAUACCCGGGCUUAACCUGGGAACUGCUUUCAUAACUGCUGAGCUAGAGUACGGUAGAGGGUAGUGGAAUUUCCUGUGUAGCGGUGAAAUGCGUAGAUAUAGGAAGGAACACCAGUGGCGAAGGCGACUACCUGGACUGAUACUGACACUGAGGUGCGAAAGCGUGGGGAGCAAACA
rnacentral:rRNA from 1 species